UCCACCACAGACAUUGAUGUGACUCCACUUGACCUUCUCUUUUCCUGGGAAAUCUUCAGCGUCUUCCCGGGCUUGCUAGACAUAAAGUUGCCUUCAGAACCAAAAGAGUCUAUUGCACUUGGAGGCAUUUGGCAGAGACCCAGAGUCUCUUAGGUUUGUGCCUCAGCGUGUCUUGGAGAUGGAACAGGUUCAUGCCUGCCCGGUUAGUAGCGAGAAGGGAGGAGAGGACCCCAGGGGGAUGGGGCUGCAGAGCUCAUUCAGGAGUCAAGGGCAAAACCUCAUUGUGCUCGCCCAGGGCCAGUAGCAAGGCCUGGGUGGGUCUGUCGGGUCUAAGACCCCUCUUCACCUGGGAUCGCAGCCUAUGCUGAUUUGUGAAUGCCUCGCUCCCACCCCACUUCUGGCUCCAUCUACUCCCGCAACCCUGACAAAAAUCCAUAUCCUUGCAGUUUUGACCUACUCAUCUGUAGACCUUGCUCAAGAGUAAUUUUCGCUGGGUAUUAACCUUUGUACAACAAAGUUGAUUGCCAACAGCUAGAAAAAUUCUUUAGGAAAAAAACAUGGACAAAAAUAGAAAUAAGAAUACUGGCGUGCCUCAUGAGCCAGCAAGUGGCUAAGCACCUUACCUGGCUUAUCUCCUUACAUCCUCCCAACCCACUCUCCACCCCCCACCAAGAACGUAGGUACUAUAUUGUCUCCUUUUUUGCUGCUGAAGACACUGAGCCUCAAGGAAAUAAGAACCCUAAGUUUAGCCAGCUAGCCUGACCUGGAUGGAACAGGGUCAACUUUUCUGAAAGCCAGCUUCCCUCCCAGACUAGACUUGGGAGAGAAACCUGCUCACUAGGAGGGCUAAAGGGAGCCUCUCUCUGGGACAAAGUGGUCCUUUUCUGUAUAGCUCUGUCCCAGCCUGUAGGGAGCCAGGAAAGUGUUUUCUACAGGCUCCAGCUCACAGACCAUUCAGCUGGGAGGCAGUAACCAGAUGGACCAGCGAUUCCCAUCCAGGGCCCAGCUUGCUGCUGCCAGGGCUAGGAGUCAGUAUGACCCUGCACUUGCCAUGAUUCAGAGGUGAAGCAGAGGUACUUGCUGUGUCAUAUGUCCCCACAAAAGGAGUGCAGGAUAAUAAUUCCUUUGUGAGAGCCCUUUAAAAGAGCACUUACAUUUGUAAGGGGGUUGGGGAGAGAGAAAAAGAAAAGAAAGAACCUCUAAUUUUUGGGUAUAUUUAUCCUGGGAGAUGAGCACAUUUUGGUGGUGGCAAACAGUUCGGUGAUUUGCAACAUUAGAACAAGUAGUUCUAUUUCCAGUAUGCUCCCUGUGAUGAUGGGGAGAGGUACUGAUAUAAACACAGGCAAGAGUAUUUCCUUUUUACUAAGAAGUCCCAUUUCCUCGUGGGACUUCAGGAAAAUGUUCUCAGGGUGAAACAGAGAGUUGUCCAUUUAUGUUUCCAGAAGUUCCUGCCUGUGGGUGCUGAUGGGGGAACAAAUGGCAAGAAGGGACGCACCCCAUUUUUUCCCUCUUAAUUUACUUCAAUGCUCUUUUCACAGAUUUCAUGAAGAAUCCAACUUUAGAACUAAUUUUUUUUUUCCAGCUAGGAAAGCAGAUUAUGCCUUAGGCAUAAUCAUAGCAGACUUAUGUAGUAGCAAUAAUAGAGAAGGAUUAAUUUUCCUACCAAAUUGGUGUAGGUAGUAUUUGACCUAACUUUUUUCUUUUCUUUCGGUAUUUUUUUUUUUAAUAUUCUUGUGAGGGUGAAGCGAUUUUGAGAGCACUCUUAGAAUCUCUCUCUCUCUCAUAUAUAUUACUUCUCUGUGAGGCUAAGCAUCUAAUUUUUUUUAAGGCUGAUGUGGAAAAAAAAAUCCUUGUACCUAGUUAGUCAUUUUUUAAAAAAAAUUCACAGCAGCAAAAUGACAGACAGCUUUCAAAUCUUCAACUUGUAGGAGGGAACCCCAAUGUGUAUUACUCAUCUGGAAGAAAAUGGUCAGCGUGGGUCAGUCAGUCCUAGGGGAAUAUUGUAAAUCAAGAUCAGCUGUGCCUUCCUGGUGACACUCCAGGCCUAUUCUGCUUUUAGAACCUCCUGGCUUGGGAAGUGGAUCAUGCAGGCCAGGGGGAGGUGGAAGCAUGGGUGGGGCCGUGGGUGUAGCAUGAAGAAUACAGAAAUCUAGUAGGAGGGGGAAAGAGAGAUUAUUUUCCUGCUCUCCAUGGAAACUUUUUCACUUAUGUGUCUAUUGCACGCCCACUAAUUGAGUAGGUAGGAUGUUCCCAGCAUGGUACAAGACACUUGUGGAUACAAAGAUUAGUAAGUCCUGGCCUCAAGGAGUUUUCAAGUCUGUGGGGGUGAAGCAAGCAAACAUGACAUCAUCAUACUCGCUGAUAACAGGUACAAAGAUCUUUGGAAGCUUGAAAGAAGGUGGUUCUUCCUGCUUCAGAAAACCACCUGGGAAAACUGUCAAUAGUGAAGGUGAUUUAAUCUGGGAUUCAGAAGGUGUGGGAGGUGGAGCAGAACAAGGAUGGGGAGAAGAAAGAAAUGGGAACUCCAGGGGGAGGGAGGCACAGAGUAAAGGUAGGAACAUUCAGACCAGGUUUUGAUUUCUCUGAAGGACAAUCAUGUUUAGUUUCUUGGAUUAUUGAGGUUUGUGUGAAGAAGCUAUGGGUUUCUCACAUCUAAUUCUUAAUUAGAAUGUGUCUUCCUCCGCCCUGUCAUUCUCAUGAUGGGUAGGGGCAGUGGAUUUGAAAUGGUUUCCAAGAGAAUGGAGGUUCUUUUUAGUCUGAUGGAUGAGCCACAUUUAGAUUUCCUUCUAGAGUGAGUACAUUGAGCUCCUUGUGUCCUGGACAUUUAACUGAAGUUUUAAGACAGAGAAAGCCACGUAGAAGUGGACAAGGUUGUGAAAAUAUGAGACAGUAUUAGUACAAGGAGCAUUGUGUUCCCCUGCUUCAAAUUCCUGCCAGGAUGUAUUCCUAACUUUGCAUGUGUGCCAGAAGUUUGGGUACCAUUGGCUUCCUCUUCAGUGCUUAUGCUUCUCUCAGAACAGAUGAAACAUGCUGUUUUGGUUAGUUCUAUGUGUCUCUCUCUCCCUUGGGGCUGGAAGCCCCUCAGAGGCUGGGAGUAGAACUGUUUCACUUAUAUUCCCAGCUCCUGGCACGGCGCCAGGCACAUAAUAAGGGCUCAGUCAGUUCUAAAUGAAUGAACAAUGCAAAUGUAAGGCUUUUACCUUGUGUUCAUGAUAGCUGGAGAAUCUGAAUAUCUUUUUAUGUUUAUCAUUUAGAGUUUUUAAUUAUGAUUGCAAAAAGUAAUCACAAUUACAACUAGUUCUAAUAAAAACCAGUUCGUAUGGUGGGACUAAUCUGUUGAGGUAAAAACCAUGAGCACAAUAGUUAUUAAACUGUGUCCUCUGCCUUGACUUUGGAUAGUCACCUCCAAGAAACUCAAGAGCCACAGGGUUGUAAACAAAAGGCUUCAAAUCCAUGUUGUCCAGUGCUCUGGUUACCUCUCAGCAUGAGGAUUAGUCUUCACUAUGCUCCCUAUCUUAAUCUUCAUACCUUCAGAACCAUAGUAACUUCUCAUACAACCCAAACUCACUUUUUGCAUAUAUUCUGCUGUGGUUAUUUUGUUGUCAUUUGAUAUGCAAUUUGAACAUUGGCCAACAUACUUUCUUAGUCAGACUACAGUGAGGUUAGGAUUCUUCUUCCUAUGGCUUCUAUAU
rnacentral:lncRNA from 1 species